rnacentral:rRNA from 1 species
UACGUAGGGUGCAAGCGUUGUCCGGAAUUAUUGGGCGUAAAGAGCUCGUAGGCGGUCUGUCGCGUCGGCUGUGAAAAACUCGGGGCUCAACCCCGAGCCUGCAGUCGAUACGGGCAGACUAGAGUGCGGUAGGGGAGACUGGAAUUCCUGGUGUAGCGGUGAAAUGCGCAGAUAUCAGGAGGAACACCGGUGGCGAAGGCGGGUCUCUGGGCCGUAACUGACGCUGGAGGAGCGAAAGCCGUGGGGAGCAAACAGG